UUACGUCCAUAUCACGAUCAAACACCGUUCCCGUACGAUCAGCAAAGUUAAGCAACGUUGAGCCUGGUCAGUAUCUAGAUGAGUGACCGCUGGGAAAUACCAGAUGCUGAAA